CCCUUUGAACCGGGCGUGGGAUUGGCCGUCGCCUGCCCACCCCGCGGCUGCAGCGUUCCUUGGGGCCUAGCCAACCGCGGGCAGGGCUGGGCAAGGCGGGAGGAGCGCGGACCCAAGAUCGGCUACGCUGCGUCUGCUCAGGCUGCGAGUUCCCGGCUCUGGGGACUCACCUUGCGGAGCUUACGCAGGCGGACUCUUCGCAGCCCCGAUGGGUGUGUGUGUCAGACCGUUUACUAAACACCAGGACUGUUGUAGGCGACUCAGCCAUGUUGAACCAUGAAAGGACCUCAGGAAUGAAACCCACACACAGCAAAGCAACAAAGUGAAAGAAGCGUGGAUUCCUAAUGCAGGAGGCACUGAACCAAUCAAUACCCACUGCCCUCCAGACCUCCACAUGAAAGAAAAAAACUGCUGUCCUGUGAAGAAGACACUCCCCAGAUGCCAGCAACUUGAUAUUGGACUUCCUGCCUUUAGAACUGUGAGAAAUAAAUUUUUUUUCUUUAUAAGUUACCCAGCCUCUGGCAUUCUGUUAUAGCAGCACAGAACAGACUAAGACAGCCACUGAAACCAGAUCUAUGUC